GACGAACGCUGGCGACGUGCUUAACACAUGCAAGUCGAACGGUGAAGGGACCGGUUUUUGCUGGUUCUGGAUGAGUGGCGAACGUGUGAUUAACACGUGAGUAACCUGCCCCCUUCUUCUGGAUAACCGCAUGAAAGUUUGUCUAAUACGUGAUCUUCUGCGCCUGCUGCAUGGUGGGUGUGGGAAAGAUAUUGUUUCUGUGGGGGAUGGGCUCGCGGCCUAUCAGCUUGUUGGUGGGGUGAUGGCCUACCAAGGCGGUGCCGGGUAGCCGGCCUGAGAGGGUGGACGGUCACAAUGGGACUGAGACACGGCGGAGACUCGUAAGGGAGGCAGCAGUGGGGAAUAGUGCACAAGGGGCGCAAGCCUGAUGCAGCGACGCCGCGUGAGGGAUGGAGGCCUUCGGGUUGUAAACCUCUUUCGCCAGUGAAGCAGGCCUGUCCCUUUUGUGGGUGGGUUGACGGUAGCUGGAUAAGAAGCGCCGGCUAACUACGUG
rnacentral:rRNA from 1 species